UUGUGCCUGCUCUCCGAAAGGGAGGAGUCAGGCACAGGGAAAGGGCAGCUGGAGCUCCGCACUUCAAAUCUUAUUUACCCGAGAAACUCUGCAUUACAGUCUUUGUGAUAAACAUUUAGGAGUUUCACGAGUUGCUUUACUUUUGUGUUAGGCUUUAGGUAUGCAGGCAAAGAUUGCGCGCUAGUUCAGUGCUGGUUUGCCCCUGCCAAGAGCACGUAGGAAAAAGAAAAAAAAAAGUAAGACGACUGAAAAAAGACAAGUCCACAGAGCAGUUUUGGAUUUUAAAGUGAAGACGCUAAGAGUGUCUGUCUGCAACUAGCAUCUGCACGCGAGCGAGAAGAAAGUCUGUGAGGACAGGACAGAAAAGUUUCGCGACUGAACGAGUAUCCUGUCUUGAUGAGGUACUGAGGAAUGCACAGUUGUCAUGGAAACCCAGACCAGUUCUGCAGCAGAGAAGAAGAAGAAAGUGGAGACCACUGUAGCCACCAAGAGCACACCUACCCGUGCAGAAAUCAGUGAAAAGGCUGUGGCCUCCAGCACUACCUCCAAUGAGGAUGACAGUUCAGGUUCCCCAUAUCAUCAUGAAAGGCGUAAUGCCAUCAGUGGGCAGGCUGCUAUUCUGGGCGUUUCAGGAAAACUAAGUGAGGAACCAUCCACCUCUACAGAAGACCACCCCCCAUUAGUGAAGAAAGAGCUUCACAGCU